ensembl:lncRNA
GGGUGCAGAGCUGCAGGCAUUCCCGUGACUUUGGUGGUGGGAAGAUCUGGCAGUUGGUCUGAUUGUACCUAUUUUCUUUAUGAAGGAUAGUCUGAGGUCAGACCGAGAACGAAAGAGGAAGGGGUGUUGAAAAUACGCCUAGAGGGGAGAAAGUGUGAAAUGGUUGCACUGUGGAGAGGGAAAAGGAAUUUUCUAAGAAACCGUAGUAGGAUUGUCCAGCAGUUCAAAUGCCCAUUUGAAAUUUAUGCCAUAAAUGUGAGGUGACUCCAUCCAGAGGAGCUGGGUGGAUCCGAGAACAGCGCAAGGAAGUUAAGAGUGUUUGCAGGGGAUUUCGCGUGCUGGAUUAUGAAAUCUCAGCUGGCUGAGAAGUGAAGACCUGAAGGGAGAUAAAUCCUGAAGAAACCGCAGAGCGAUGGCCUGGAAGUCUCUGUUUAGGAGCUGAGACCUCUUACCAACAGCCAGCACCAAGCUGCCAGGCAAGUGAGGGCGCCAUCUUGGAAGUGGAUCCUCCAGCCCCAGUCAAGCCUUCAGAUGAUUGCAGCCUCAGCUAAUAUCUUGACUAAAACCUUGUAAGAGACCCUGAACCAGAGCUGUCAAGCCUGCAACCCAACAUGAUGUGAUGAAUGGCACUUCGGCAGCCAUCUUGGAUCAUGAGGCAUUCGGCUUCUGGCGAGCCCGCCCCCAGGGUGACUCACGCAUUUCCCUGCACCGCUGGGACAGCAGUGGGGGCCCAAUGAGGAGCCCCGUUGGGCCCUGCGGGGGCGCCCCUGAAGUGGCACGUGUCCUGGUCAUUCCUGGGGUGGAGCGUGGCUCUCUGGGGUGUAGCCCGAGCCGGCCCCACAGCCUCUCUGAACCUUCUUUGGAUGUCUCCCAGUCCACACGCCACAUUAGAGUCGUUUCGUCGGCCCACAGCUGGAGGAAAACAGCGAUUCUGGAGUGGGGAGAGCGAUCGCCACAAAGACCCGCUCAAAGAUCCGCAGUCUCCCGCUCCAGCCAAUCACUUCCUGGAAGACCACGUGGGAGAGGGAUCUCAGUCACUUAAUCAAAGCGACAGUAUCGAUCAGGGGCCCUAAACUGUUAGAGUGGCGGUGGGAGGCGGGUGGGUAGGAACACCAAACAAAGGAGGAACCCCAGAGAUAGUAUCCCACUUGCUGUUUACCCCAGGGCGGUGACUGACAUGUUGGGGCCAGGAAUCAACCUGUGGGUUGCCGCUUACUUGCCGUUAAGUCUUUGGGCUACUUUAAGAUUUAUGAACAUCUUCUGACUCCCUGGAAUUCUGGAACUUUAGAGCUAGAGAAACUUAGCACCCAUUGUUGUCGCUCCUCAUUUUAAGGGAGAGACCUAGAGGGUUAGGUGACUUGGUCGAGGGUUAGGCCAUGCUGUUCCUGCUCUUAGUUGAUGAGUCACACCUGGAACUCAAGGCCCCAACUCUCCUUCCACCUAUUGUAAAAAUGGCGUCUGCUCCCAGCCUACCUGCCAGGUGGAGGGAGGCGGGUGGGGGUGGGGAGGAGCUGGUGUGAGGGAAACAUCCAUCAAAUGAAUGGGGUCUCCCCUGAGUUAAGAACAUUAUGUAGAAACAAUUUUGUGUUUCAGUGGAAAACUGAAUCAUCUGUAUGUGUUAUCCAUUGCAUACCUUCCAGGGUUAUAAGAUUCAAGCCUAUUCAUUAUCUUUAAGCUAUUUUGCAACUCUGUAAGUUGUAGCUAAUUGACAGAUAUGUAAAUUCUGUCCUACCUGGUAGAUUUGACUUCUUCCCACCACCACUCCGUCGGCAGGAAAAAAAACACUUGUCUUCAUUUGCAAUUCAUCUCUAACAUUCCUUUACUCCAUGUAAAUUGGUGCUGUUUUGACUUUUCCUUUGAACCAGUUAUAACAUCUAUCUGCCUGGUUCUGUCAUAUCAUGUGAGCAAAAUAAAUUCUUUAACGCGUGUUCAUUUUUU